rnacentral:rRNA from 1 species
AUUGAACGCUGGCGGCAGGCCUAACACAUGCAAGUCGAACGGUAACAGGAAGAAGCUUGCUUCUUUGCUGACGAGUGGCGGACGGGUGAGUAAUGUCUGGGAAACUGCCUGAUGGAGGGGGAUAACUACUGGAAACGGUAGCUAAUACCGCAUAAUGUCGCAAGACCAAAGAGGGGGACCUUCGGGCCUCUUGCCAUCGGAUUUGCCCAGAUGGGAUUAGCUAGUAGGUGGGGUAACGGCUCACCUAGGCGACGAUCCCUAGCUGGUCUGAGAGGAUGACCAGCCACACUGGAACUGAGACACGGUCCAGACUCCUACGGGAGGCAGCAGUGGGGAAUAUUGCACAAUGGGCGCAAGCCUGAUGCAGCUAUGCCGCGUGUAUGAAGAAGGCCUUCGGGUUGUAAAGUACUUUCAGCGGGGAGGAAGGGAGUAAAGUUAAUACCUUUGCUCAUUGACGUUACCCGCAGAAGAAGCACCGGCUAACUCCGUG